UUUAAUAAAUCACCAAAAAUAUGAUAUUUUUAUUAUUGAGAUUUAAUUUUAACUUUUACAGAAGGCAACACAAAUGGGAACUGAAAAGAGGUGAAGGGAGGUAACCAUGGAGGUAUAUGAGAGAUACCCACUGAUGAGAGCCCUACCCCUUGAUUGGAAGAAGAGUUCCUCUCAGAACUUUCAUUUAAAGAGGGUGCCCAGGUCAGUCAUCU
rnacentral:lncRNA from 1 species